rnacentral:rRNA from 1 species
GACAGAGGGUGCAAACGUUGCUCGGAAUUACUGGGCGUAAAGCGCGUGUAGGUGGAUUGGUGUGUCAGAUGUGAAAGCCCUGGGCUCAACCCAGGAACUGCACCUGAAACUACCAGUCUUGAGUGGUGGAGAGGGAAGUGGAAUUCCUGGUGUAGAGGUGAAAUUCGUAGAUAUCAGGAGGAACACCAGUGGCGAAGGCGGCUUCCUGGCCCGAUACUGACGCUGAGGUGCGAAAGCGUGGGGAGCAAACAGG